GACGAACGCUGGCGGCGUGCUUAACACAUGCAAGUCGAACGGUGAAAGCGGAGCUUGCUCCGCUGGAUCAGUGGCGAACGGGUGAGUAACACGUGGGCAACCUGCCCCUGACUUCGGGAUAACUCCCCGAAAGAGGUGCUAAUACCGGAUACGAAUCCUGCAGGCAUCUGCGGGAGUGGAAAGUUUUUCGGUCAGGGAUGGGCCCGCGGCCUAUCAGCUUGUUGGUGGGGUAGUGGCUCACGAAGGCGACGACGGGUAGCCGGCCUGAGAGGGCGACCGGGCACACUGGGACUGAGACACGGCCCAGACUCCUACGGGAGGCAGCAGUGGGGAAUAUUGCGCAAUGGGCGAAAGCCUGACGCAGCAACGCCGCGUGAGGGAUGACGGCCUUCGGGUUGUAAACCUCUUUCAGCAGGGAAGAAGCGAAAGUGACGGUACCUGCAGAAGAAGCACCGGCUAACUACGUGCCAGCCGCCGCCGUAA
rnacentral:rRNA from 1 species